rnacentral:lncRNA from 1 species
GCAAGUGUACUGUGCUGUGGCCAACUUCACAUUUGAGGGUGUGCUGGUCUCUUCUCCCCCAAGCAUCCCGCAGUGUGUUUACAUACCAGCAAAUAACGAAAGCCUUAUAGUCGUGAUUGUGUGUGCUGUUCUCAUCACUCUUGGCUUAGUAUUUCUUCUGGUCUGGAGACGGUGUGCAUCUUCUGAACGUCCCCUGCCCAGAUCUUUGGCUUUACUUCGAGACCUGGAACUUCAGAAUGAGACUUUCGUUGACUCCAGUAAAGCUGCACCACACAACGAGAGCUCUGAGGGUGACCACGUUUCUGUUGUUUCCC